AUGGCUGGUUGGAGGGGGAAGUUACUGUCCUACUCUGCUAGACUAACCCUCAUCAAGGCCUGUUUGGCCAGUAUCCCUGUGUAUCUACUGUCCUUCUUUAAGUUUCCUAAAUGGGCUCUAGACUUAAUUAAUAGUCAGCUAGCUCAUUGUCUAUGGAGUGACUUUGAGGGGAACAGAAAGCUUCAUCUGGCCAAUUGGCACUUGGUCUGUAUGAAGAAAGAACAUGGUGGGCUUGGGGUCCCUAACAUUAGGGAUCUCAACCUAUGUCUAUUAGGCAGUUGGGUCAAGAGAUAUGCCCAAUAUGAGGGCAAGAUCUGGAAAACCAUCAUAGACAAAAAAUAUAUUAGAAAUGCUCCUAAUAUAUUUGCCUGUAGGCCACAAACCUCCUCAAGCUUUUGGCAAGGAGUUAUGUGGGCUGCUAAAGCUCUUAAGUUCGGCUAUAGAUGGGUAGUAGGAAAUGGGAGGAAAAUUAGAUUUUGGGAGGAUAUCUGGUUUGGAACCUCCCCACUCUCUGUCCAGUUCUGGCCUUUAUACUCCAUUUGUCAUCAACAUUGUGUGACAAUUUCAGAAGUUUGGGAUGGGAGUAACAUUAAGCUUACUUUUAGGAGGGUUUUUACCUCUACUAUGAUGGAAGAAUGGUACUGCCUUGAACAAAUUAUAAAAGAGACUGCUCUUAAUGGAGAUGAGGAUGCUAUGGUCUGGCAGUAUGAAUCUAAGGGAAUUUACUCUUCUAGCUCUCUCUAUGCCAUCAUCAACUUUAGAGGGGUGACACCUGUCUAUAUUCCCUCUGUUUGGUCUAUUGUUGUGCCACCUAGAAUCCAAGUUUUUCUCUGGCUUCUAGCACACAAUAAACUUAUGACUAAAAAUAAUUUACUUAAAAGGGGAUUGAUAGGAACCCAGAGUGUUUAUUCUGUUCUGAGCAGGAGACUGUAG
rnacentral:rRNA from 1 species